rnacentral:sRNA from 1 species
AAACCCCACUACCCGGGACGGAGCUCCCUG